rnacentral:rRNA from 1 species
UUAAAGGGCUGCAGUAUAUUGACUGUACAAAGGUAGCAUAAUCCUUAGUCAUUUAAUUGAUGACUUGUAUGAAGGAUUGGAUGAAAUAUAAACUGUCUCUUAAUUAUAUUUAGAAUUUAAUUUUUUAAUUAAAAAGUUAAAAUAAAUUAGAAAGACGAGAAGACCCUAUAGAGUUUUAUAGGUAAAAUUAAUUGAGAUUAUUUGUAAAGGUUAAAAUUAAGAUUAAUUUAUUUAUUUUGUUGGGGUGACAGAAAAAUAUGAAAAACUUUUUAUAUGUUUAAAACAUUAAUAAGUGGUUAAAUGAUCCAAUAUUAUUGAUUAUAAGAAAAAAUUACCUUAGGGAUAACAGCGUAAUUUUUUUUUUUAGUUCACAUAAAAAAAAAAGUUUGCGACCUCGAUGUUGGAUUAAGAUAAAAUUUAAAUGCAGAAG